CAAUUAACCAAACAAUAAAAUCCACUCAUAGUAUCAUUAUCCUUCCACAAGAAGGCCCUCCUGACCAUGUCAAUUUUAUUAAUGACCCAUUUAGGCAAUUUGAAUAUGAGCAUAUAAUAAGAAGGCAAAACAGAGAGUACAAAAUUGACCAAAGUUAAUCUCCCCCCUCCCCCCAAAGGGAGUAACUUAUCCUUCCAAGAAGUCGGUCUUGCAUUAAAUUUUUCUAUGAGAGGCA
rnacentral:lncRNA from 1 species